rnacentral:rRNA from 1 species
AUACGAAGGGGGCUAGCGUUGUUCGGAAUUACUGGGCGUAAAGCGCGCGUAGGCGGACAGAUCAGUUAGGGGUGAAAUCCCAGGGCUUAACCCUGGAACUGCCUCUAAUACUGUCAGUCUUGAGUUCGGGAGAGGUGAGUGGAAUUCCUAGUGUAGAGGUGAAAUUCGUAGAUAUUAGGAAGAACACCAGUGGCGAAGGCGGCUCACUGGCCCGAUACUGACGCUGAGGCGCGAAAGCGUGGGGAGCAAACAGGAUUAGAAACCCUAGUAGUCC